rnacentral:misc_RNA from 1 species
AGAGAGAGAGAGAGAUAAGAAGCAUUAUUUUGCGUUAAAAGCAGGCUUAAGGUGGUAUGGUGUGGGUUACAGGUCUACCAACUGGUGGUUAGGCUUUGAAACUUAUCUUAAGCAAUGAAAUUCUCACAGAACCACCAUUACUAGUUUCAUGUACCUUGCUUGGCUUUUUUUCUCACACGUGAGAAACCUGGAACUGGAAUCAUUACUAGACAAUUAUUUUCUUUAAAAUAUUCCACUAUUGUUCAUUAUGAAGAAGAUACAACAUGUCCAUAUUUAAAUAAUACCACCUUUAAUUGGAUUGGCGUCAAUGUUCCAAUCAUAAGGAGGGUCGGUUGCUUCUGUUUGCGUUUGUGGGUAGUAUUUGUAUUUCUUGGGAUUGCUUUUGUGCUUUUGCUUUUAUAAUAAAAAUCUUGUCUUGGUGUUUUCUGGUCUUUUCUGUUCCCCUUCCCAGCCACAUCAUUUCUCUGGGGUUUUCAGGUAUUUUACUCUAUCUCCUUACCCUUUUCCAUGUCUCUCUUGCCUUUGAAUUAUUUGUAAUCAUUGCUCAUGCUGCGUGUUUGUGCUUCUGAUUUUUGAUUAUUUUUACAUGGUGUUCAUCACGGGAAGCUGCAAACAACUGAUACACAUGAACUUUGUAGCUUAAUUUUGGGAUUUAAGCAUUGCAUGGUCCAGUGGAGGUUCUAGAUUGGGGGUCUAAUCUUUCUCUCAAGUUUCUAUAUAUUCAUUGGUUUUUGACUUUGGUUGUUGUGGCUUGUGAGUAUGCUGUUAUUACGAUUUUAUGGUAUUUCUUAUUUGGCUUUGGAUGAUAUGAUGAUUAUUUCAACCAGGAUUAAUGUUAGCUAAGUUCCUUGGGUGGCCAUGCCUAGCUCUAAGCUCUAACUUGUAUUCAGCUUUUUAUGGUACCUGGAUUUUAUUCUUUACUUAUUGAAUUUUCCCUUGAAAUUUCUGGCGUUUCUGUGCAUAUGAAUGCAACUUUUGAUAUGGCUUUGAUGUAGAGUUAUUUUUAAACUGUAAUGAAUAACAAAUUACUAGAAGAACUUGUGGAUUUUCUAAACUUCCAAGGUUUAUGCUCUCUUGUAUAUUGCUUUUGGGUUCUUUAUUGUUUUACUUUCAGUUCUAUUAUACCUGGGCUUUGUAGCGAUUGUUGAUCAUCUUUUUAUUUUAAUUUUUUCAUUUUUCUCUUUUUGUUCUUUACCUUUUCCUUUAUUAGGGGGAGGGAUUAGUCUGAAUGAGGUUAUGUCUGGAUUUUGGUUUCAUUUUAUUGUUUGUGAGUUUCGCCUGGAUACUAUCUCAAGUGCAUUGAAAGCUGAACUGGUUGUUGCUAUGUUUCCUUAUAAUAAGUCUUUUGAAAUCUCAUAAAAGCUUGUAAGAAAUUUUUAUAAACUGAAACCCAAGAUCUAUUGUUUUGUCAGAAUUUGUUACAUGAUGGACUUCUUGUUGGGGCAUUAUUGUUAGUUGUCGGUCACUUUGUGGAGGGCACUUGGAGAGCUUUCUCAUUCACCUUAUAGCACUUGACCAGAGGUUGUGAAACAGAGUAAGGAGAUUAUGGCUACUUAUUACCCCAGUUUGAGCAGCCAGAGAGACAAUUUGCAAAGUCCAUAUCCAGGAGACCAGAAACUUGCUUCUUAUUCUGAACUUCCUUCCCAUCAUAAUAACAUGACAAUUUAUGUGAACCAAGCUUCUGCUGCUGGGUCGUACUCAGAAUUUAUAACUGAGAGUUCCUUGUCUUCUCACAAUUGUGCUGAAUUUGCAGCUGCUGGAGAUAGAAAUGAGAUGAUGUUCAUUCCACCUACGAGUGACACAAUGAAUUUGCAAUCUGUUGAUGGGCAUUUAAACACAGCAGCAGGUAAUCCAGUAGGCAACCAUGUUAAUCAGGAUUCCCAGGGGGUUUCCAGGGCAGAGCUUCGCAUUCUAGAUGGUGAACAGAAUUUUCAGUGUCAGGGAUUAUCUCUAAGCCUUGGCACAGAGAUGCAAUCUCCAGUUUCUGUUCCGUCAUUUCAGUAUCAAAGUCCAAACCUAAUUUUGACUUCGUUGUUGAGUCCACAUGUUCCUGUAUUGGGGAAGUGGACAUUAUCCAGUGAAAGUGAUGAAAAUAAGGUGUUGAGAAAUUCUGAAUGCUUGUCUACCUUUUCUGGGGGCAACCAUAACCCCAUCAAAACAGAGGUUUCCUGUAAUCCUCAGUGCUUUGAUGCCCACAAAGAUGUUCAUACUGAUACAUAUAUGGACGGAACUUCUGGUUAUGCUAAUGCUAUCUCAAACUCUAAAUACCUCAAGGCAGCACAACAACUGCUUGAUGAAGUUGUCAAUGUUCGAAAGGCUCUAAAGCAGCCUGACAAGGAGAAAAACCAAAGCACAAAUGAGCAUGGGCUGAAUAGUUCAAAAAGAGGUGACAGCAAAUCAAAGAAUGGGUCUGCAGACCCUCAGGAAUCCACCAAUAACUUUCCAAGUGAGCUUUCACAUGCUGAAAGACAAGAACUGCAGAACAAGUUGAGUAAGCUUUUGUCCAUGUUGGAAGAGGUUGAUAGAAGAUACAAACAAUAUCAUCAUCAGAUGCAGAUUGUGGUAUCAUCAUUUGAUGUGAUAGCAGGACGUGGUGCAGCUAAACCAUACUCAGCACUUGCCCUACAGACUAUAUCCCGCCACUUUCGGUGCUUGCGAGAUGCAAUAAGUGGCCAAAUUCAAGCUACCCGUAAAAGCCUGGGGAAGCAAGAAACAUCAGAGAAUGGUAAAGGGAUGGGAAUAACUCGUCUCCGGUAUGUGGAUCAGCAGAUCAGGCAACAGAGAGCUCUUCAGCAGCUUGGAAUGAUGCAGCAACAUGCAUGGAGGCCACAAAGGGGUUUACCUGAAAGCUCUGUUUCAAUUCUUCGUGCAUGGCUGUUUGAACAUUUCCUUCAUCCGUAAAUCCUCCAAAAACAGCUUUUUCUAUUACUGUUUCAAUUGUAUUAUUUUGCUGUUUCUUGCAAGACAUCUCCAAUUAUAGUAAUAGAUUUUUCUGGUGUUCAACAGGUACCCAAAGGAUUCUGAUAAGAUCAUGCUGGCAAGGCAGACAGGCUUGACUAGAAGUCAGGUAAAAUGAAAAGAACAUAUUUAUCUAGCAAUUAGCAUGGCAGACUAGAGUGUCUUUCUUCAUCUUAAGUGAGUCCAAAGGACAAGUCCUUUUUCACCAAAAUUUAUUUCAUUUUGAAAAUAGUGAAACCCACUGCAUAUAAUUUUUCAAAAUUGUGUUUGGAAGAUCAGGCAUAACUCAGUUGGGUAGUUGCUGAGAAUUUGGAAAGAAGUAUAGUACAAGGCUACAAGCUCAAGAAUAGUGGCAACUUUAAAUCUGAAAUAUAGCAUAUGCAUUCUGUUGGAUUUAGCAGUUGCCAGAUGCCCAGAGCAUAUUAGGGAAGACAUGAGUCUAUUUGUGAAUGAAUAUGUGAGCCUCAUGCGACAAAGCGGUGAAGAAUUGGUAUCACUUUCCUGUCUGUCCACUUUAAUCAAUGAGAGAAAUUUAGUUCCUUUGCAAAAGUUUGCUAUAUCUUUAGAUUUUCAUUAAUUAUUGACAUGAAUCAUAGAAUGAUUAAUCAUAUUAAAACUGUGACUUGGAUUGAGAAACUUUUCUUAUUGCUUUAAUCAUAUCCAGACAAUAUCAACUAUGACAUAAUGCACUUUAAUGUGUUCUGUUCGUGAAAUUCCAAGACAAUAUGUUGCCUUGCUCAGGUCUCAAAUUGGUUUAUCAACGCACGAGUGCGACUUUGGAAGCCCAUGGUUGAAGAGAUGUACAAAGAAGAGAUUGGUGAUGCAGAGAUGGACUCUAAUUCUUCUUCUGAAAAUGCUACAAAAGCAACAAAAGGUGACUUGAGAAACUACGAAGAUGGAGGGGAAGAAAUGCAACAAAGUGCCAGUUCAACAGCAAACGAAAGAUGCAGUGCUGGACAAUUGCUGGAUUCCAAAUCUGACUGUGUUCCUGAUGUAGAAAUGGGAGGAUCAACUACAAGAAGCAAUUUUCAAAAUAUGACACGCAGUGAGGCUGUUACUGAAUAUGGGUUAUUGAAGCUAAGGGAGGAGCAAAGGCCCAGUGUUGAUGAUUGUGGUCUGUUCCCUGAUGCCAUUGUUCACUCUGAUGGGAGCGCUGAUAGGCUUAUUGCUGCAGCUGCUGCUGCUUAUCAAAUGUCAGAGGUGGGAGGGUUUGGGACUGGAAGUGGAGUGUCUCUUACGCUGGGGUUGCAGCACUGCGAGGGUGGUAACCUACCAGUGUCUACCACAGCCCAUCACAGUUUUGUUUCCAUGAGAGGGGAUGGUAUAUAUAGUGCAGCAGCAUCUUCUGUGGGGGCGGAGAACACAGAUUAUGAAUGCCUGAAUCCGGGGAACAGGCAACACAGGUUCAAUUCCUCCCAUUUGUUCCAUGAUUUUGUGGUAUGAAUUACUUUGGGACAGUAGCAACCUACUUUCUCUGUUCCAUUAGGAAAGAUUCAUCAUUACUUUCAGGUGAUGAAAGGAAGGUUGUGCAUAAAACACAAUUAUAGCAUAUCAAAAGAAUUGGUUGGAAGAUUAGCAUAUUGUAAAGAACAUAAUUUUGUCUUAAUAUUCUGUAAGGGAAUUGUACAAUUGUCGACAACUUUGGUAUGGAAAAAAAAAAAAAA